GCUAGUGCAGCAGUAAAAGGGACGCAGUUCCUGGCUGGCGACCGGGGGAAGGAGGCGGUUCUGCGUGUGGUGCUUGUGUUGCGGUGUUUUACGUGUUGUGGUGUUCCCAGGGUGUGGUGGUGGUUGUCCUGUUGGUGCGGUCGCAGUCCCGAGUUGGUUGACCCACACAAGUGAGACUGCCGAGAUGGCUUGUCAUUGUGCCUCGCAGGUCGACUGACGCGACGGUUGAGUGAAGGUGUGCGCGCACCCAGCCAUCGCACACCUGCGCGAUCCAGACUUACCAUGGAGUGGACCUUGACAGCGCCAGUGUGGGCCACCGACUUUUACCUCUACUCCACCCGGUGUUCCCUCCAUUCCCUGGCGUGGAGGGGCCACCUUCCAGUACCUCUAAUGGACUGGCGGUGUUUUGCUGGUUAAUGAUUGUGUAUGUAAGAGUUCGAGAGACUUUCUUUUUCUUUUCUUUUUUUUUAAUAAAAACUUUGGAGAAAUA